UCACAGUCAGGAUUGUCCGAGGAUAAUUUCUGCCACUCUGAGGUGUUGAGUGCGAGCUGUAGCAGGCUAGCAGGAGCAAGCUAGCGGGAGCUAACUGUGUACAGACUAUACUGUGGACAUAGCAGCAAAUCACUUACCGACAAUGAACUGGUCUGAUCCUGAUUUAAGAGAGGCCAUUUCUCUUUUAAAACAAAAAAUGUCUCUUUACCUGGAAGAUGAAGACAUAAUAGACAAAGUCAAACAAGCAAGGAAAAUAUGUUGUGGCAUCGGAGAUGAAGACCUAAAAAUCGGAGAUGAAGACUGAGAAUAUUCUCGGGGAUGAAGACACUGAGAAAGUCCAUGUUAUGAACAGAUAGGGCGGACAUGCCAGAAUUGUGGUUCAAGCCAUAAGUCACAUCAGUGUCCAGCAUAUAAAGACGAAUGCUGUGCCUGUGGCACAAUAGUACACUGGGCAGGAUGCUGCAAAAAGAAGUCUCGACCACCACGUAACAAACAUCCCAGAUUUCAGAUGUCCAGAAAUUAUCACAAGCAGCAGUCCAACAUUGAUGUUGUAGACAGCAAAGAGCCUGAUGAAGAGAACAUGUACCAAAGAAAUUUCUACUCCAUCACCAUCAGUGAAAAGUGCAUGAAUAGCAUUGACAGCAGACUACCCAGAGAUUUCGCAUAUUCAACCCUAAACAUGAGACCACCUGGCCUACCAGGUCAUGGACACACACUUCAUCUGAAAAUUGACACAGGUGCAGCGGGGAAUACCCUGGCACUGCACACAUUCAGACAAAUGACUACAAAUCUAGUGCCUAUAAAAAACUAAAAAAGAACUACAAAAAGCUAUCUGCGUAAAGUGGAUAUGAGAUCCCUUGCCUUGGAACUAUUAAUAUUCCAUGCCAAUAUAAGGAGUCUACAUGGGUUGAUGCCAUGUUCUUUGUUGUGGAUUUACCAGGGCCAACUGUAGUUGGGCUACCAACAAGGGAACUGCUAAAUCUUGUAACUGUACAUGUUGAUAUUGUGAAAGAGAAUGGAAAUGACAGCCAGAAAAAUCAAAGGAAAAACAAACAAAACUACCAAAAAUAUCAACCAGUGCAGAUCUGAAGGAAGUGUAACCCAACCAGUUUGAAAAAACUUGGCAUUGACAAACUUCUCCUGAAAGAGAAUGCAGAAUCAUUCAUUGAUCCACCACAAAGAUGCAGCAACCACAUCAAUUAUAAGCUCCAGAAAGAGCUGAACAAACUUGUGGAACAAAAAGGGCACAAUGGCACAAAAAGGACAUGUCCCUCAGGAUAUGUUGAGACCCACAGAAAUUAAAUGCCAGCCUUAAAAGAUGUCCACACAAGAUACCAACUGUGGAGGAGCUGAACUCAAAGUUUGCAAUAUAAAAUAUUUAGCAAGCUUUAUGCAAAAGCAGGCUAUUGGUCCAUACACCUGGAUGAGGACUCACAGCUUCUGACAACAUUUCGCACUCCAGUUGGCAGAUGCUGGUGGAAACGCUUGCCAUUUGGAUUAAGUGUCUCCUGUGAUCCCUUCCAGGCCAAAAUGGAGAUAAGGAUCUCCAAGGUGGGGUCAGUAUAGCCAAUGAUAUAUCAGACAGACAGCAGCGAGUGACAUCAAACCGAACCCAGCUAAGAGACAUGCAGAAAAUGGCAACCCUCCAAGAUGAGCUACAUAGGUCUAUGGGAAUGUCGAGCUAUUAGGAUUUGAAAUCAACAACCACUGAGGAUGCCUGCCUAAAAUACUGUAAUCCAAACACACCCCUAACCUUUGAAGUAGAAGCGUCACAGGAAGGCCUGGAUAUAGUGCUGGUGCAGAACAACAGACCAAUUGCUUUUGGUCCUAAAACACUGACAGACUGAGAUACAGCAACACAGAACGUGAAAUGCUUGCCAUUGUUUAUGGAUUGCAGUGAUUUCACACCUAUCUGUAUGGGAAGUCAUUCCAUGUGAUAACAAAUCACAAACCACUCGUCACCGUAUGUGCAAAACCACUAUAUGCUGCACCGUCACGUUUACAGCUCAUGCUGAUUAAGACACAAGGGUACAACUAUGAAGUCAGGUACCGGCCUAGAGCACAAAUGGUACUAGCAGACACUCUCAGUCAGUUGUCAAACCCUGAAAACCACAGUGAAUUGAGCUGGACGAGCACAUCGCUGGAAUGAAUGCUGAAAUUGAGGAUUCAAUGUUACACGCCAUCGGCAUAACAAAUUUCUCAUCUGGAAAACAGGAAGUUCUCCGUGUAGAAACUGGAUGGUCACUAGAUUCAGUGUGUUAAAAGGAACUGAUCAAGGGUGGCCAGAAAGGAUAGAAGACCUGCCAAGAACCUUGCGUGCUUAUUGGUCCUUUAGAGAUGAACUUGCAGUGGAAUCAGGAGUCAUAUUCAAGGGCAGGGAGGUACUCAUUUCAGACCAUGACUCAAGAUAUCCUUAAUCAGAUAUCCACAUCACCUCGCACGAGAAAGUGUUUAUUGGACAAAAAUGAAUGAUGACAUCAAAAUAGUUUGCAGAUCUUGCAGUGAGUGUGUGGAACAUCAAGUUGCAAUCCCAAAAGAGCCUCUCAACCCACAUGACACUGUUAUAACCGACUAAAAUGUUUCUUUAGGACCCAAAAGCAGAACACAACUCAGCGGUGCAGGUGGAUUGGAUUUUAUUGUAGCUUGGUUUGAACUGGCUGAGACGGCUCUGGGGGGCCUGGCAGGUGAAGAGUGGGGGAGCAGAGGUUCUGGACUGGAGGCUGCUGGGCUGAAAAGGUUGCUGAGAGACAGAUGAAGAAGUUUCAAGAUGAAACUCAGGUGCGCUGGCUGCAGCAGUCAGUAGGAGGAGUGGAGUGGACCAGGAAGAAGCUGGAGGGAAUGCCACACCCCGAGACACACACACACACAACCAGAGAGGAGAGAGAGACAGAGAGAGAGAGACAGAGAGAGCAAUCAACCAGGUACUGAAACCCCUGACCCCGACAUCGUACAUCCAGCAGCCGCCUGACGGUAAACACUGUGUGGUCGUUAACGAUGCGGGCGGGAGGAGGGGGGUCAACCGGAGGGCACAGAGGACUGACAUGCACAGGUUUCAACUGGGAAACAUGGAAUGAAGGGUGGAUUCUAAAAUUUUAGUCAGUUUGAGUUUAACAACAAAAGGGUUGAUGAUGCUCACGAUCUCAAAUGGUCCCAAAUAGCGGGCCGAGAGCUUCUUAGAGUCAGUUUUCAGUGGAAUAUUCUUAGAAGAAGGCCAAACUUUCUGACCUGGUCGAUAGUGGGGUGCUGGGAUCCCAUGACAAUCAGCUAAGCAAUGGUUCCGUUCAGCUGAACAUAGCAGAGCUGAGCGGGCAUCCCUCUGUCCUCACCUGCCCGCUCUCAAUUAUGUAGCCCAGAAAGCUGACUGAGGUAACAUGGAACUCACACUUCUCUGCCUUUACGAAUAGCUUGUUCUCCUGGAGCCUCUGGAGAACUUGACGGACAUGGAUGAUGUGUUCAGAGGGUGAGCACAAGAAGACCAGGAUGUCAUCUAAAUAGACAAAGCUAUUGAUGAAAUCUCUGAGCACGUCAUUUACCAUCGCUUGGAACACUGCAGGUACAUUGGUGAGACCAAAUGGCAUUACCAAACACUCGAAAUGGCAUAGGGGGUUGUUAAAAGCCGUUUUCCAUUCGUCUCCCUUUCACCAGGUGAUAGGCAUUUCUCAGGUCCAGUUUGGAGAAGAUGGUGGCUCCAGUGCUACAUAAUUAAGAGUAGGCAGGUGAGGACCAAUCCUGAGAAGAUCCAAGCAGUGGUACUAUGGCCCAAACCAACCACUAGGAAACAGUUACACCGAUUCCUGGGCCUCGCUAUCUUUUACCGCCGCUUCUUCAAAGACUACAGUAAAGUAGCGGCUCCCCUCACCAAGCCCACAUCCUCCACUUCUCCAUUCAGUUGGUCUCCUGAGGCUGAGCCUUCCUCCACUUGAAGAAACUGUUUACCAUAGCCCCAGUUUUAAUCCAGCCGGACCCGUCCUGUCCCAUCAGUUUAUUAUGGAGGUGGAUGCUUCAGAUUCAGGGGUUGGGGCAGUCCUCUCUCAAAGUGCAGCUCCUCAAAAGCUUCAUCCUUGUGCUUUUUUUUCCCAUCGCCUUUCUCCUGCAGAACAAAACUAUGACGUGGGAAACCAUGAGCUUCUCGCAGUAAAACUGGCUCUGGAGGAAUAUAAGCAUUGGCCUGAGGGGGCUGAACAACCAUUCAUUGUUAAAUUUCCGUCAAGCCUGCUUGGCCUUAUUCUUUGAUCACUUCAGCUUUACCCUUACCUAUUGCCCAGGCUCCAAGAAUAUUAAGCCCGAUGCCCUCUCCCGCCAGUUUGCCCCUGAAGAUGUCGUUUCCAGUCCAGACACCAUUCUACCUACUACCUGUGUUGUUGGGGCUGUCACAUGGGAGAUAGAAUCUAUGAUCAAAGAUGCUCAACGCACCCAACAAGACCCAGGUAAUGGUCCUCCUGGCCGAUUGUAUGACCCCAACUCUGUACAUUACCAGGUCUUCCAGUGGGGUCAUUCGUCCCGGUCUCCCAGGACUCAUCUGCAUGAGCGCUAAAAAAAGAUCUGCUUUGCGCAGCCACAACUUCUAGGUAAUGCUCAAAGGAAUAAAAAGUGACCCGGUGGAAACACUUGCCACAACAACCUGUGAAACUAACACAAGCACAGAGGAAUUCAAAAGCCCAAAGACAACAUGCAUAAGAUAUGGAAGGGCUAUAAAAAAACAAAACCCAGCCCACUACAAGGAUUAUGUUUAGCUCAGAAUAAUACCCAGGGUAGUGGUAUAGCCCUCAUUGAUGAGAAUUUGUGUGUUUGAAUGUUUAUUUUAAUGUAUAAAUUUUAAAAUAAAUAUUUGUUGGUUUAUGCACAAAACAAAAAGAAAUCUUACACUGAUGUAAAGUGAGAACAACAUGCACUAAGUUUAAUCAUUCCAACUCGUGUUGAUAAAUGAUGUUAAAAUGUUAGAUGGGAACUGAAAGCAGAUUAUUGUUUAUUACAAAAGCCAGUUAAGUCUGUGGGGUACUCCCGCUUAAAAGCGGUGAUAUGUCUAGGACAUGCACAGUGUUAUGGCAUAGUGAUUCGUCAACUGGAUUGAGUUGAUAUGAGUAGUAAAACGUUAUACUAAACAUUCAGUCUGGUUGUCUGCCUCCAAAUUAGGGCCCGGGCACCGAGUGUCGGAGGUGCAAGGAACCUAUUGUUAUUGCUGAGAUUAUUAUUAUUUUUCUGCUGGAAUAUUUGAUUUUUGAGGGGCUUUAACGCUCUCAUAAACUCACGAAAAUUCGCACAGACCUCCAGACCGUUAUGAACUGCAAAUUUCGAUAGUGAUUGGGCUACGGCUUGUCCAGCGGGCUCCAUAGGUGCUGAACUUGGGCCAUUUCAACAUUGAGAUCCUGGGAUGUUCAUGAAAUUUGAUGGGAUCUGAGUUUGCCUAACUCAGUUAAUGCAAGUUGACAACAACAAUAUUUCCCCAAAACCCUCUUUCAUCUGACCAUUUUAUAUUAACAUUUGAGUUCACAGUAAUAGAUAUUACAGCAUUUGGGAAAAAAACCAUCACAGCAUGUAUCCAUCUGACAAUACUGUGAUCAAAUUUAAAGAAAGAAUCCUAUUGGUAUUUGGUCCUCUGCCAUGUGUCACCACAAUGGAGGACAGCUAUCUCAACUUCAGUCCCACACAAGUUGAUGAUGUUGUUUACAGUACUGCAGCCUCAUUACAUACAACACUAGACACUGUGGUUCCUCUGAGAAAGAAGGUAGUGAAUCAGAGGAGGCUAUCUCUAUGGUACAACUCAGAAACCCGUGCUCUAAAGCAAAACAACCCCAGGUUUCUGUUCAGCACUGUAGCCAGGCUGACAGACAGUCACAGCUCUAUUGAGCCGUCUAUUCCUUUAAGUGUCAGUAGCAGUGACUGUAUGAGCUUCUUUAUUAACCAUAUCCUCCCCACAGCUGAUUCAGAUGUACUGUCCGCACCAGAGUCAACAGUAAGUGGUUUAUAUUUAGACUGCUUCUCUCUUGUAGAUCUCUCUGGGCUAACUUCAACAGUUCUAUAUCUUAACCAUCUACUUGUCUUAUAGUAUCUAUUCCAACGAGGAUGUUCAAAGAUGUUUUUCCUCUAAUCAACAAUUCUAUUCCAGGUCUAAUCAACCUAGCAUUAUCAGCAGGUUAUCUACCACCGCUUUUAAGGUUGCAGUAAUUAAACCUUUACUUAAAAAUCCUACUCUUGAUCUAGAUAUUUUAGUCAGUUACAGACUUAUAUCCAACCUCCCCUUUAUUUAAAAAUCAGUGAAAAAGUGCUUGUUAACCAGUUAUGUGAUUAUUUGGCAAAAAGUGGUCUGCUUGAAGACUUUCCGUCAGGAUUUAGAGUCCAUCAUAGCACAGAAACAGCUCUGGUUAAAGUUACUAAUUAUCUCCUCAGGGCCUCAGACUCUAUACUUGUCCUACUAGAUCUUAGCUCUGCAUUUGACACCAUCGAUCACAGGAUCUUAUUGCAGAGACUAGAACAUGUCAUUGGCAUUAAAGGAACUGCACUAGUCUGGUUUGAGUCAUACUUAUCAGAUAGAUUCCAGUUUUUUCAUGUUAAUAAUGACUCUUCUAUGCACACAAAAGUUUGUCAUGUUCCACAAGGUUCUGUGCUAGGACCAAUACUUUACACCCUAUAUAUGCUUCCUUUAGGGAAUAUUAUCAGGAAGCACCAGGUAAAUUUCCAUUGUUAUGCAGACAACAUCCAGUCGUACUUAUCUGGCCAGAUCUGGCCAGAAUUUUAGUUUAAAAUGUUCAAAAAAUGAACUAACACUAUCAAUAGUAUGUGAAGGAGCCACAGUGAUGAUGUCUUGACCAAGACCACCAUCUAUUGUAUUUCAGAGAUAUCUACUGAAAUUAGCAUGCUAACCAACUAGCCCCGACCUGGGCCUUGUUGUAAUACCACCUAGACACACUAGAUGCUGUGUGAGUCAGUGUAGCGUUUAGUCUGCCCUCAGUCCCACAGAACAAGAACUUCCUCCUGAGCUUGAAGUUAGCUACAGCUCCAACAAAACAAAACAAAAAAAAAGCUGCCGACGAGCAUCACAGAAACGCAGAGAUGGCUGAAGUGCUUAGAAAGCGAUCCUAAUCUCCAUCCCAAAGAACCACUCUGAAACGAAACCACGUUCAACGGCAAAGAAGCAAAACACGGGUGAAGCUGGUGACAGCUCCGGGCGAGUAGAGAGACGCGGCUUGAUGUCGAGCUUGCAACUAUUCUUUUAGACUGGACAGAAUUCCUGUCCAGUCCUCCCCAGUGAUGGACCAGCAUCUGCCUUUUCUUCUGUGUCUGGCCUCAUCAAUCAACAACCACAUUACAGUAACACCUUUACACCAGAGUAUUAUCCCUGCACAAAACAGAUAUUGUCUAUACUGUGAUCUUUUGCACAUCCUGCUCAGCAGGAGUUUUGUCAACACUUCUACAUAGUUUUUUUCAUCGUUUUAUUUUUUUAAUAUGUGUAUCUAUGUAUAUUUAUUUUUUUGACUCUUGCAGUAUUUUACCUUUUUAUUGUUAUUUCCUGUUAAUAUGUUUAUUGGAUACUGCACCAAACACCAAGCCAAAUAUCUUGUAAGUAAAAACCUUCCUGGCAAUAAACCUUUUUUCCUGA